UACGAAGGGGGCUAGCGUUGUUCGGAAUCACUGGGCGUAAAGCGCACGUAGGCGGGUUCUUAAGUCAGGGGUGAAAUCCCGAGGCUCAACCUCGGAACUGCCUUUGAUACUGGGAAUCUUGAGUUCGGGAGAGGUGAGUGGAAUUGCGAGUGUAGAGGUGAAAUUCGUAGAUAUUCGCAAGAACACCAGUGGCGAAGGCGGCUCACUGGCCCGAUACUGACGCUGAGGUGCGAAAGCGUGGGUAGCAAACAGG
rnacentral:rRNA from 1 species